CCUACGGGUGGCAGCAGUGAGGAAUAUUGGUCAAUGGUCGGGAGACUGAACCAGCCAAGCCGCGUGAGGGAUGAAGGUACAGAGUAUCGUAAACCUCUUUUGUCAGGGAACAAAGGCGGGGACGUGUCCCCGGAUGAGUGUACCUGAAGAAAAAGCAUCGGCUAACUCCGUGCCAGCAGCCGCGGUAAUACGGAGGAUGCGAGCGUUAUCCGGGUUUAUUGGGUUUAAAGGGUGCGCAGGCGGUCUGUUAAGUCAGCGGUAAAAGCCCGGGGCUCAACCCCUGCCCGCCGUUGAAACUGGCAGUCUCGAGUUGGAGAGAAGUAUGCGGAAUGCGCGGUGUAGCGGUGAAAUGCAUAGAUAUCGCGCAGAACUCAGAUUGCGAAGGCAGCAUGCCGGCUCCACACUGACGCUGAGGCACGAAAGCGUGGGUAUCGAACAGGAUUAGAUACCCGAGUAGUC
rnacentral:rRNA from 1 species